rnacentral:rRNA from 1 species
UACGUAGGGUGCCAGCGUUGUCCGGAAUUAUUUGGCGGACCGCGCUCGUAGGCGGUGUGUCGCGUCGGCCGUGAAAACCUGCAGCUUAACUGUGGGCUUGCGGUCGAUACGGGCAUCACUGGAGUUCGGCAGGGGAGACUGGAAUUCCUGGUGUAGCGGUGAAAUGCGCAGAUAUCGGGAGGAACACCAAUGGCGAAGGCAGCUCGCUGGGACGGUACUGACGCUGAGGCGCGAAAGCGUGGGGAGCAAACAGG